ACUCCCUUCCCCAAUCUCUUUCUCCUCCCCGCCGCCGCCCCCUCAUCUUAUCCCUCAUCCUCGAUCCCCUCCACUAUCCCUCCUCCGCACCCUCACCAUCCCGGCGAUGCCUGCUUCCUCCACCUCCCCACCUGCGACUUCUCUCUUACCGGGAAUCUCCUAAGCUUCCUCCACUCCCAAUGGCACACAUCCCCCACCCCUCUUACUAGGUGCAGUGGCAACGACAUCCUGGGCGCGUGCAGAUCUGGCAUGGAACAGAACCCCGACGUCGGCCUAGUCGAACCGGGACGGCCGUGCAGUGGUCGAUGAUCUACUGCGACGGCUGGAAGCAGCAGCAAACCCUAGUCGCCACUAGUUACCAGUGCGGCUCCCAACUGUCCUACUGGCGUCCUCGAUGUCGUGGCCUCGUACUCCUCUGCGACCCCCGUCCAGGUUCUUUUGCCGCCUCUGAUUAAUGUUGUGGUCGUGGAUCCCUAUAGAGGAAAGGUUUCUCGCGUUCCUCUCUCUGAUGUACAGACGCGCGCGUCCCUUUGGCUAUCGGUGGCAAGCAGCCAACAUAGAGCAGCACAGCAGGAACGGCGGCCGUGCAUCUACCUCGAACUCCACCAAACACCAGCCACCAUCGGUAACCAGCUCUGCUCCUGCUCUUCUUUUUUGGAUGGUUGUUCUAGUUGGCAAUGUAUGUCUGCUCUGACGUAUGUGAUUUCAGUGGCGGUGGCAGGAUCUGAACAUUGCUUUCUCAAGUUUUUUAAAUGAAAAAAUUAUAGAAAAAACAAACAGGAACAGAAAAGACCACACAUAUUUUUGGUUGCAGCUUUUUGCCAAAUUUAUCCAUUUAUCAUUGGUGUGAUUACCAAAUACAAGACCUAACAAGUGAAAAACAAGCAUUUUACUAUGAAGAACAAGAUCUUAAUUUCUUAAUAAGAGAAAAAAUUGGAAGAGGAAGAAGAUGUAGUGUACAAAUAGAAGAAAAGGGACCUUGUGCUAGACUCCUUGUGCACUCGCCGAUCACCAGAGGUACAGUACUUUAGAGAGUCGGAGACUGGCUGAGGACGUGGCCAUGCUCACGGAGGUGUUUCCGGACGGCGGGCGGUUGGCGACCGGCAGCAUCAACGCUUGGUGUGCAACAUGCGCAUCCAUGGGAUAUUCUCCAACCUGCCGGUGUUGUGCCCCCGUUGGCCUUUAGGGAUUACAUGGGAAGGUGAAAAAGAGAGAAGUAGUAGUAGUAAGAGUAAUCACAGGAUUUGAGGAUUGGCUAAUUAGGGAAGCUAUGUAACUAGGAAGAACAAGAUCUUAAUUUCUUAAUAAGAGAAAAAAUUGGAAGAGGAAGAAGAUGUAGUGUACAAAUAGAAGAAAAGGGACCUUGUGCUAGACUCCUUGUGCACUCGCCGAUCACCAGAGGUACAGUACUUUAGAGAGUCGGAGACUGGCUGAGGACGUGGCCAUGCUCACGGAGGUGUUUCCGGACGGCGGGCGGUUGGCGACCGGCAGCAUCAACGCUUGGUGUGCAACAUGCGCAUCCAUGGGAUAUUCUCCAACCUGCCGGUGUUGUGCCCCCGUUGGCCUUUAGGGAUUACAUGGGAAGGUGAAAAAGAGAGAAGUAGUAGUAGUAAGAGUAAUCACAGGAUUUGAGGAUUGGCUAAUUAGGGAAGCUAUGUAACUAGGACGGCUGUGUAAUUUCCUUUGCUAUAUUAGGCUAGCCUAAUCAUAGGCAAAGCAGAUAACAAAUGGGUCUGUCAUACUCAGUUUAUAGAACUUGUUUUUUACCGGUGGGGGAGGUAGACGUGGUAGUCUUUGGCAUGUCAAAUUGCUGUGUAGUCGCUUGACUACCCAGCUAUAGCGUGGCUUCGCCACUGUGUGAUUUCCUGCCUAAAUUAAAGUACACAUAUGGUUGUGAGACUUGAUCAUGUUGUCACCACUGGGUAAUGUGAAUUGAAUGGAUAAAUGCUAUACUGGACCUGAUGGUUUGAGCACUACAACAAAUCUGAAUGUUUUCACAUGUCUCUUUCACAAGUAUGCACAUCAACUGUUUAAUUACUAUAAUAUAUUGCAACGAAUAAUAUCUGUUACAUAUUUAAUGCCAACUGUCUACUUAUGUAACUGAUAAUUGGUUAUAGCAGUGUAUGUUUAUUUAGUUUAAUAUGAGUGUACUUAAUUAAGUCUCAAUUUUAUUUCCUUUUCUUGCCUUAUUUUCGUAGAGGUUUGUUCUGUGUAACUUGAUCUCAGCUUUCAAAUCAGUAUUGAGAAGGUGAAACUCCUACAAUCAUGCAUCCACUACAAUUGUGGGUUGAGGUAAUUGAGAUGGAACAGAAGACAAUUGGGUUUGGUUUAGAUGGGUUACUCCACUUGGAUAGGAACAAUGAUACUACUGCGAACACGAUUACAUAUUAUGUGUAUCUAAAUGUCCAGUGUGACCGAUUUGUAAUUUUAAUGUUAUUGUGGUCAUUAUUUUGUAGUUGUGAAUUUGUAAUUGUGCACUAUAGUAUUGUUUCUGGCUAAAUAGAGAUUCUUUACUUA